AUGGAGGAAAUGCGUUUUCUUUAGCUUGUCUUCAUAAUUAAAUCUACUAGCAACGCUACUUCAAUGAAUUUUCGGGGCUGGAAAUCAAUUUAUACUUUCCCGAAACAACCUCGUCUUCAAGGAGAGUGGGGCUCAUGGUUGCUUAGCAACGGUAGACAACAUUGUGCUUAUUCUGAGGCCCUGGGAGAAAAGAAGAAAGCGGAGCGGCAGCGUUUUCAACUCAUUUUUAGACAUGUUAAUGCCUCUUACUGUCACAAAACUCAAUUCUCGCUCGCAUGGUAUGCCCCCGACAAAAAACUGACAGCUGUUUAUAAAUGUGGGGUCUGUGUCCAGCACGCGCACGUACAGCUCGAGCAGAGCAGCGUCUGACUGAAUGGUCAUCUUCAGAGUGUUUUUUCUGAGGUCAUUCUGGUCUGUUCAUUCACUUCUCAUUACAGACAGUGGAGACAGACAGGAAGUGAUGAAGAGGAAAGAGGGCAGCAGGAUCGUGAAAGGACCACGACCCGGGUCUUGAUAUAGGUCGCCCAAAGCACAGUUGCACCGCAUGUCUGUAGCACUAUCCACAAGACUGCAGGGUCUGACAGGUGUUAGUAUAUUCUGGUGUAAACUAUGGCUACAGUUUGAUGACAGUUAUUUAAAAUGCACAAGGCUGCAUGUGGCAUAUUUCAGUUUCAACAGUACGAAGGUUGAAUAGGAUUCAUGUUUCUUAAGCCGGGACACACUAGCUCAGGGAUGGUGAAUUUUGAUCCUGGAGGGCUACUGGCCUGCAGAGUUUAGCCCCAAACUACUCCAAUACAUACCUGCAGUGAAGCUUCUAGUAAUGUGUGUUUGAUUAGGGUUGCAGAUAAGCACUGCAGGACAGUGGCACUCCAGGAUCAAGGUUCCCCACCCCUGGACUAGCUGAAACAUUCUAAAACUAGACACAACACACUUCAAAAGUUUUUCUUGCGACUGGAACCGAUUCCAGUCUUUGACAGUCAAAAAGGGGCACAUACCUAACCACAUUCAGACCACUGACUACACAUUUAGGGACUCUUAAAAGAGUCUUGUUAGGUGUGUGCUGCUUUCUGACUGUCAAAGACGUUCUGUUGACAUGUCAGAUUUAUCACUCUAUGUAGCCUACUCAUGAGUAUUAUAUUCCUGUUUUGUCAGUAAUAUAACCCAACAGUAAAGCAACCAAGAUGUUCAGAUUUGUCUUUUUUUCCAAGGUUAUGCGUUUUUUGUUUUAUACUUCAUGCAUGGUAAUGAAAACAAGAGUCAAGAAAAUAAUUGAUUAUUCCUAAAUCAUUCCAUAUGUACAAAACCUUUACAUAAUGCAGUUACGCAUAAGUCUGGAGCACCAAAACAGAAACGGCAUCUCUUAAUGCAGUUUAAAAGUUAAAAACUAGUUAACUAAUAAAAAUAAUCAACACAAAAAUACAAAGCGUCCUAAAUAACCUGAUCGCUAACAACCGCAAGGUGUUUACCUGCAGCCUCCGAGCCUGAAGUUUACUUUACAAAGCAUGUGAAACAGUAUAACGUGAUGAUCACAUGGCGACUCGAAAGGUUAUGUAUGAUCUCUCCGUUAUUUUCAGCAGUCUGCUUUUACUCAAGCUCUGCACAUGCUCGAUAAAGAGUCUCGGGAUAUAAUGAUUGUUGUGGGUGUAAGUAUAUAUUAGGCCUACUAAAAAAUACCAUAGCUUAAUGUUUGUUGUUGCAUUCAUUCUUCCAAUUAUUGGUUAUUCAAAAACAUCAAUAUAAUAACACAACAAUAGCUUUUUUAUUUGUGUCAACAUUUCUUUCAUUUCUGUGUACAGUCUCCAGUGCAGCCGUCAUCAAUCUCAAUCUUAAAUAUUAAACGCGUUUAAUACAAUCUUAGUGAAGACGACUGAUAACGACUUGCUUAUAAAUAAUAAGACACUACACAUUGAACGAUUUUAUCUGUCUAAUGUAAACAACGUCUGAGGCUGACCACAAAAGAAGAGAUCAGCGGUUAUGAUCAAAUUCAAUCCUAAUUUUAGUGAAAACUGUUAAAAGUGUUCCCGGCUCUAUAGGCGUUUUGUUGUCAAUAUAUGUUCCUAAUGUUUGUAUUUUAUUUUUUCAACUCAAGAUUAGGGAUGGGCGAUAUGGCCCUAAAACUCUAUCACGAUAAUUCCUGGUAUUUGUUGCGAUUACAAUAAAAAUGACGAUAUAUCCAUAACGCCAUCCACCUCUGUUUUUUGCCUCAAGUGAUAGUAGCUGCAUGUAGUCAAGGGCCCGGUUGCAAAAAGCACCUUAAGUUUUUCCCUUAAGUAUGACACUUAAGGGGUGAUUUUCCUUUACCAAAGACAAUAGGAGAAUAACUUAAGUAAAACUUAAGGUAUACUUAAGGGAAAUUUACACUUAAGGUGCUUUAUGCAACCGGGCCUAGACCCUCAGAAAAACAAAUAUGAUCAAAAAGUAAAACUUACCCCAAAUCAAACAGCUCCAAAAAUAUACCUACAGUAUUUUUGUAAAUAUAAAAUAUAAUAGUGAGAUUCGACUUCAAAAGGUUGUAGUAAAGAAAAGUUAAAUGAACUAAAGCUCAAUAAACACAUCAUGUCAUACCUAAAACUGUAUAUAUUCUAUUGUUGGGUGGAAACGAUCGAUCGCAUCACGCUGUCAAUCACUCUCUCUUGAACUGUGUGAACCUUCUCUUCUCACAGCAACAUACACUGAAUCUGUCUAUGACUCGCGCUACAGAAAGAGAACAGAAAAAUGCGGAUUAAAGAUAUCUAAUUAAAUAAUCCAUGCUUUUAUACGCUCAUAAACGUAUUUAAAAUAACGUCAUACAAACUCGCAUUUUGUACUGUAUGUGAACAGGCAGCAGUGCUGUGUGCGCUGUCGCUAUGAAAGCACAUGUGGGCGCGAGCUGCGCACGGGACGCUCCGUUCAUCCUGUAUAUAACAGGCAAGAAAUCAUAUUAAACUAUUUGCGCACGUAACAUCUAACGAAUGUUUAAAUAAAUACUUUUAGCCAAACUAAAUGUUGUGGUGUAACGUAUUAUGACUAUCAACGAAUACUUAACAAAUGAAUUAAAUAAAACGAAAGUGAAACUAAACAUUAACUCGGAUGCAUCUACAGUGCCAACCUAAACGAGAUUUAGAGCUCGUCUUUUAGUUCAAACUCUUUCUCAGCUUCACGUCCACCCUCCGCUAUACCCGUUUACGCUUCACAUAUGAGCUGUGAAUGGGUCUCACAAAGAAAUACGUCAUCAACUAGAAUUUAUCGUUAAUAUCGAGGGAAGACUAAUUCCUAUCAUGUGGGGAAUUUCUCUCGGUAUAUCGCAAACGAUAUAAUAUCGCCCAUCCCUACUCAAGAUAUAGCCUGUGUUUUUUUGUGUUAUUAAAUGUUUUAUGGUUUGUUCAUAACAUUUGCCUUAUUGUAUCAUUUCUAUUCUAAAAAUAUAAAGACUAUUUUCAUAUUGCCUUGCAGUAAAUACAGUACAUGCAUUAUUGUUGUA